GACAACGUGGCCGAGCGGUUAAGGCGACAGACUCGAAUAUAGUUUCAGGGUAUCUGUUACGGUUUCCGUGCGCAGGUUCGAGUCCUGCCGUUGUCG